rnacentral:rRNA from 1 species
UACGUAGGGUGCGAGCGUUGUCCGGAUUUAUUGGGCGUAAAGAGCUCGUAGGCGGUUUGUCGCGUCGGCCGUGAAAUCUCCACGCUUAACGUGGAGCGUGCGGUCGAUACGGGCAGACUUGAGUUCGGUAGGGGAGACUGGAAUUCCUGGUGUAGCGGUGAAAUGCGCAGAUAUCAGGAGGAACACCGGUGGCGAAGGCGGGUCUCUGGGCCGAUACUGACGCUGAGGAGCGAAAGCUAGGGGAGCGAACGGG